UGCACAGGUGUAUAUGACUCCAUUCUGCA
rnacentral:piRNA from 2 species